GUGGGGAAUUGUUCGCAAUGGGCGCAAGCCUGACGACGCAACGCCGCGUGGAGGAUGAAGACCUUCGGGUCGUAAACUCCUUUCGAUCGAGACGAAUGGCCUUGAGGUGAAUAUCCUCGAGGAAUGACGGUACCGAGAGAAGAAGCCCCGGCUAACUCCGUGCCAGCAGCCGCGGUAAUACGGGGGGGGCAAGCGUUGUUCGGAAUUACUGGGCGUAAAGGGCUCGUAGGUGGCCAACUAAGUCAGACGUGAAAUCCCUCGGCUUAACCGGGGAACUGCGUCUGAUACUGGAUGGCUUGAGUUUGGGAGAGGGAUGCGGAAUUCCAGGUGUAGCGGUGAAAUGCGUAGAUAUCUGGAGGAACACCGGUGGCGAAGGCGGCAUCCUGGACCAACACUGACACUGAGGAGCGAAAGCCAGGGGAGCAAACGGGAUUAGAAACCCUAGUAGUCC
rnacentral:rRNA from 1 species